UACGGAGGGUGCAAGCGUUAUCCGGAUUCACUGGGUUUAAAGGGUGCGUAGGUGGGCAGGUAAGUCAGUGGUGAAAUCUCCGGGCUUAACUCGGAAACUGCCAUUGAUACUAUCUUUCUUGAAUACCGUGGAGGUCAGCGGAAUAUGUCAUGUAGCGGCGAAAUGCUUAGAUAUGACAUAGAACACCAAUUGCGAAGGCAGCUGGCUACACGAAUAUUGACACUGAUGCACGAAAGCGUGGGGAUCAAACAGG
rnacentral:rRNA from 1 species